rnacentral:rRNA from 1 species
GAUGAACGCUGGCGGCGUGCCUAAUACAUGCAAGUCGAGCGAACAGACGAGGAGCUUGCUCCUCUGACGUUAGCGGUGGACGGGUGAGUAACACGUGGAUAACCUACCUAUAAGACUGGGAUAACUUCGGGAAACCGGAGCUAAUACCGGAUAAUAUGUUGAACCGCAUGGUUCAACAGUGAAAGACGGUUUUGCUGUCACUUAUAGAUGGAUCCGCGCCGCAUUAGCUAGUUGGUAAGGUAACGGCUUACCAAGGCAACGAUGCGUAGCCGACCUGAGAGGGUGAUCGGCCACACUGGAACUGAGACACGGUCCAGACUCCUACGGGAGGCAGCAGUAGGGAAUCUUCCGCAAUGGGCGAAAGCCUGACGGAGCAACGCCGCGUGAGUGAAGAAGGUCUUCGGAUCGUAAAACUCUGUUAUUAGGGAAGAACAAAUGUGUAAGUAACUAUGCACGUCUUGACGGUACCUAAUCAGAAAGCCACGGCUAACUACGUG